CCUACGGGGGGCAGCAGUGGGGAAUAUUGCACAAUGGGGGGAACCCUGAUGCAGCGACGCCGCGUGGGUGAAGGAGCACCUCGGUGCGUAAAGCCCUAUCGGCAGGGAAGAAAAGCGAACAGGUUCGCCUGGACGGUACCUGACUAAGAAGCCCCGGCUAACUACGUGCCAGCAGCCGCGGUAAUACGUAGGGGGCAAGCGUUAUCCGGAUUCACUGGGUGUAAAGGGAGCGUAGACGGCGGCGCAAGUCUGGAGUGAAAGCCCGGGGCCCAACCCCGGGACUGCUCUGGAAACUGCGGCGCGGGAGUACGGGAGGGGCAGGCGGAAUUCCUGGUGUAGCGGUGAAAUGCGUAGAUAUCAGGAGGAACACCGGCGGCGAAGGCGGCCUGCUGGACCGUGACUGACGUUGAGGCUCGAGAGCGUGGGGAGCAAACAGGAUUAGAUACCCGAGUAGUC
rnacentral:rRNA from 1 species